UACGGAGGGUGCAAACGUUGUUCGGAAUUACUGGGCGUAAAGCGAGUGUAGGCGGUUUGGUAAGUCGGAUGUGAAAGCCCCGGGCUCAACCCGGGAAGUGCACUCGAUACUGCCAAGCUAGAGUAUCGGAGAGGUUGGUGGAAUUCUCGGUGUAGAGGUGAAAUGCGUAGAGAUCGGCAGGAACACCCAGGGGGAAACCAGUCGACUGGGCAUCUACUGACGCUGAGGUGCGAGAGCGUGGGGAGCGAACCGG
rnacentral:rRNA from 1 species